CACCCAGGAAGUGCAGUGGAAACACAAAGGACUGGCUGAGCUAAAGCUCCUACAACCAGAUGCAGGUGCUAUGGAGGCUGGAGGUGAUCCAGGUGCCCUGGAGCUGGAGCAGCUAUGAGCCACCUGAUAUGGAUGGCAGUCCUCUUAAAGAGUACUGCGUUCAGAUCUGCUGAGCUACCUCGACAACCCUUUGACUGGACUUGUGCCCUUCUCAGCUGGCCUUUUCCUCCUCUUCCUCCUCUUCCUCUUCUCUUUCUUCCUUCUCCUCCUUUUUUAUUUUUGCCACAUUUGAUUCACCUACUAAGCCACUAACCAAUCAGGUGCAGUGCAUGUCUCCUCAAACACACUCCAGCACUUAGUUCUCAAACCUAGGACAAAGCUCGUGAGGCAACAGUGACUUAAAGUGAAUUGAAAAUUAUAAAUAAAUAUUUAUUUCGUAUAGUUCCAAGCUAUCUUCUGUCUUUAUCGGGAAUAUUUUCCCUGGUCUUUUGUUUACAAGUGAAACUACAACACGUAUAAAGCAGACACA
rnacentral:lncRNA from 1 species